rnacentral:lncRNA from 1 species
UGAAAUAGUAAUCCCAGCAAGGAUUUUAGGACACAAUUACUUAAUAAUACUUAAUAAUAAUGAAAAAUUACUUAAAGGGCUAGAGAGGUGGCUCAGGGGUCAAGAGCACUUGCUGCUGGGACACGGGUUUAGUUUGCAGGGAACAUACACAGUGACUCACAACUAUAAAUCCAGUUCCAAUUGUAAAUCCAGUUCCAGGCAUCCAGCACCCUCUUCUGGCAUCUGUCGGCACCAAACAUACAUGUGUAAAUGUGUGGUCUGACACUCAUACACAUAAAAUAAAGAGAAAUAGUAAAAAAUAUGUGUAAUCUACUCUAUUACUUAAAAAAAUAGGAAAAACAAACAAAAUUGAUCACCAGAACCCCUAAAUUUUGAGAUGUUAUACCAGAGAGCCCGGCAUGCUGUUGCUGUUGUAGGGUGAAGUCUUCUACCAGAAAUAAUUACGUUUUUAAGCUACCAAUUUAUUGGAAGAAGCACUGGCUUAAAGAGUUUGGAAACUCAUUCAGGGCUUGAGAGAUGGCUCAGUAGUUAAGAGCACCAGUUUCUCUUCCGGAGGACCCACAUGGCAGCUCACAAGCAUCUAUAACUCUGGUGCCCUCUUCUGGCCUCGGUGAGCACCAGGCAUGUAAUAUGUGGUACAUAGACCUAUAUGCACAGGCAAAACACCCAUAUACAUAAUAUUAUUUCUAGUUAGUUAGCUCAUCUUUGAACCAGCAUGUUUUGAAUUAUGCUGUUUCAAAUGGGGCCAUUUGGACUAAAAAGCUGUUCACCAAGUUGCUAUUCAGCAGGUUGACAGGGAUGACCAGAUCAUAGAUUCUGGCCUUGAAAAUCUCAAGGGAGAGAGGCACACAAAAUAGUCUAAAUCUGCCUUUUCCUGAUGACUAAGGUUGUUAAACACUCAUUUAUAUUUUUUUCUUCUGAGAAUCGCUUGUUUAUUUCAUUAGCCCAUUUGUGGAUUAGGUCAGUUUUAAAUGCUGUGCAGAAAGCUUUUAAUUUCAUGCAACCCUACCUAUUGAUAUUUGAGAUUGGUUCCUAUACUAUUGAAGUUCUGUUCUUCCAUACCAUACCCCCAGUGUUUUGAAACAUAUUCCUAUGUUUUUCUCUAGCAGUUUGAGGUUUUAAAUUAAGGUAUUUAUUCCAUUUCUAAUUGGUUCUUACAUAGCAUGAAAGGUACUGGAUCUAAUUGUGUUCCCCUGCAGGUAGACUCCCAGGUUUGCCAGCUCUUCUUAUUGACUAGGCUAUCCUCCUCUACUGCAUCCUCCUCUGCUGCAUCCUCCUCUGCUGCAUCCUCCUCUGCUGCAUCCUCCUCUGCUGCAUCCUCUUCUGCUGCAUCCUCCUCUGCUGCGUCCUCCUCUGCUGCAUCCUCCUCUGCUGCAUCCUCCUCUGCUGCGUCCUCCUCUGCUGCGUCCUCCUCUGCUGCAUCCUCCUCUACUCUUUUGGCCACCUUCGUCAGAGAUUAGACGCCCACAGCUUUGUCGGUGUAUUCCAGUCCUCUACUCGGUUCCAAGUCUGUAGCUCCUGUAGUGUGGUUUGAGGUUUGGCAAUACCCCCACUUUUGUUCUUGCUCUUUAGAAUUGCUUUGGCUACCUGUGGACUUUUGUGAUUCUAUAUGCGUUCUUGGGUUCUCUAGAGCUGUGAAAUAGAAUCUAAAUUUUGAUUAAAUCUGUAUUGUGUUAAAUCUGUGGAUUAAUUUUGGUAUUAAAGUCAUUUUCACAAUUAAUUCUGCC